rnacentral:lncRNA from 1 species
GCUGGAAACUCUGAAAAAAUUGUUAUAAGAGAGGAAUUUUGUUUAUCACUUUUGAAAUUUUUAACUGUAAAGUAUUGUAUGUAUAUUGAAUUGCAGAUCCAAUGGGAUUCAGUUCUUAGCAGUCCCAGCCUAGUCAGAAGUACAAAGUCAAAUACCAUUUGCACAUCACCAAGAGGUACAAUCUGAUGAGUAACAGGAUAUCUGAUUUAAAAGCUUGCAAGGUUUCACAGGCUGUUUGAGUAUCACCAGGGCAGAUCAAGAAGAAAUAUGAAGGCCAGGUUCAUAACAAGCAGUUGCUUCAUUGCAAUUACAGAUUUAAAAAUUUAAUGAAUUUAAAUAAAUGUGUCAAUACAUAUUGAAUGUUGCUUAAACUACACAUCUGUUGAACAAAAAAAGAUUAUUUGGAGUAUAGAUCAUAUUUAGGUCCAUAGGUUUCACACAAGAUUAAAAUAUUUUUCGAAAGGGCACACUUAUCCCCCCCCCCCUUUAUUAAUGUUCUAAUCAUCUACAUGUAGUACUUAUAGUAGUGAAAGCACUUUGAAUAAUAUCAGUAGUUUGAAAGGGAUAGGUUGUAUUCUGGUAAUCUAAACAAUGCAGAAUGGGCCUUUACUGAGGUCUGGACUAUGUAACAUACAUGCCUACAGACAUAUAAAAGAUGAUAAGAAAUAAUGGAUUUUCAUUGAAAAAAUGUGCAUAAUAAAACCAAGGUGACAGAACAGAGGGCGAAGAAAUCACUCUCAGUCCUGGACCCCAAUUCAUUAAGACCAACCACUAUUCUAGCUUUGCCAUUCUGGUAAUUACCAUGGAAACAUUAAAGCAACAGAUCAACAUUGGGGUUCCCAUGCUAGUUGCUAGUUACAUUUGGGGCCAAUUUACCAUAAUUGAAGUCCUUAUGAAACAAGAACCUGUAUGUAUUGCUGGACAUUAAGCUGUUGAAUUCAUUUUCUG